GACGAACGCUGGCGGCGUGCCUAAUACAUGCAAGUCGAACGCAGUGGGGACGGGUGAGUAACACGUGGAUAACCUCCCAUCAGAGGGGAUAACACUUGGAAACAGGUGCUAAACCGAUAUUGAUGGAUGAACCCGCGGGGCAUUAGCUAGUUGGUGAGGUAACGGCGCAUCUAGGCCACGAUGCAUAGCCGGCCUGAGAGGGGGAUCAGCCACACUGGGACUGAGACACGGCCCAGACUCCUACGGGAGGCAGCAGUGGGGAAUAUUCGGCAAUGGACGAAAGUCUGACCGAGCAACGCCGCGUGAGUGAAGAAGGUUUUCGGAGCGUAAAGCUCUGUUGGUAGAGAGGCGGUAUCUAACCAAAAAGCCACGGCUAACUACGUGCCAGCAGCCGCGGUAAUAC
rnacentral:rRNA from 1 species